GCUUUUGCGCUUAAUUGUGUUCCUAAUUCAACAUCGAGGUCGUAAUCUUUUCUUUCAAUCAGGGCUCUAAGAAAAAUCACGCUGUUACCCCUAAAGUAAUUUAAUUUAAUUCUKUCCAGGGUAUUUAAUUUCACGUAUUUGUGUUAUUAUGAAAAUAGUUAUUUUAUUUUAGCCGUCCCAGCGAAACUUAUAUGUCGUAKUAUCUGUUUUUAUUUUAAGAAGUAAAAUUUUAUAGGGUCUUAUCGUCCGGUAAAAAUGUCUAGGGGUUUUAACCUAAAUUUAAUUUUUUUUUAUUUAAGGGAAAGUGUGUCUCACGUCGAACCUUUCAUUCGGGCCCCCAAUUAAKAGACAAAUUAUUAUGCUACCUUAGUACAGUUGGUGUACUGCAGCUCUUUACGGGGCAGUGAGCAGGAAUGACUUUUUAUACCACAAAAAGAGAUGUUU
rnacentral:rRNA from 1 species